rnacentral:rRNA from 1 species
GCUUGUCUCAAAGAUUAAGCCAUGCAUGUCUAAGUAUAAACUGCUUAUACUGUGAAACUGCGAAUGGCUCAUUAAAUCAGUUAUAGUUUAUUUGAUGGUACCUUCUACUCGGAUAACCGUAGUAAUUCUAGAGCUAAUACGUGCGUAAAACCCGACUUCUGGAAGGGUCGUAUAUAUUAGAUAAAAAACCAAUGCCCUUCGGGGCUCUUUGGUGAUUCAUGAUAACUUCUCAGAUCGCACGGCCUUGCGCCGGCGACGGUUCAUUCAAAUUUCUGCCCUAUCAACUUUCGAUGGUACGGUAUUGGCCUACCAUGGUUUCAACGGGUAACAGGGAAUUAGGGUUCGAUUCUGGAGAGCGAGCCUGAGAGACGGCUAGCACAUCCAAGGAAGGCAGCAGG